rnacentral:lncRNA from 1 species
UUUAAAGUAUAAGAUUUUCAGAUAUUAGGAUAUCCAAUAUCCAAAUAGGUAAAAUCGGAUAUACUGAAUAAUUAAUUAUUAGACAAAAGUCACAAAACAAGUCGAACUAUUUAUACUUUCAAUCCGGAUAUUUGAAUAGUGACCACCCGUAAAAAAAAGAAGGGAAAUUAUCAAAAUAUCAUAUUCAUAGAUUUAGGUUUUAGACUUGAGGGGUGGGAUAGAAUUUUUAGAAUGUGAAAUUCAGGAUACUAAUAAAUAUAUAAAUAAAUACUUCAAAAAUAUUAAAAAAAUUAAAAAUAGUUUCAAACAUAAUUUUUGAUUUUAAAAAAAAAUGAAAAAAAAAAUCGAAAAAAAUAUUCAAAUUUAUAAAAAUAUUCGAAUUUGAAAAAUUAUAAUUCGAAAUCAUAAAUUUAUUUAUUAUUUAUUUAAAUUAUUAUUUAUUAUAUAUAUUGAGAACAAAUGUAUAAGAGUCUUUUGCCACUUAAUGAAGAAAGUAUUUUUGAAAAUGUGUCUUUAGUGGUGGUAAAUAUGAAUAAUGGUACCGUAAAAAAAAAUUAAUUGCUAGCUACUCGAAGUAUUGCCCAUUACAUGGAUAGCCAUGCAAACUAAACUAAUGUAUAGAUAGCUACACGAAAUAUAUGUUAUGCAUUCCAACAUCCCUAAACUUAAUGUUGUUAUGUAGUUAACAUCACAAAUUUAAUUUUAUCAAUCCAAAAAGUGACGUGGACGUCUGAGAUAUUAACC